rnacentral:rRNA from 1 species
UACAGAGGUCUCGAGCGUUUGUUCGGAUUCAUUGGGCGUAAAGGGCGCGUAGGCGGCGGGGUAAGUCUGGUGUGAAAUCUCGGAGCUCAACUCCGAAAUUGCACUGGAUACUGCUCUGCUAGAGGACUGGAGAGGAGACUGGAAUUUACGGUGUAGCGGUGAAAUGCGUAGAUAUCGUAAGGAAGACCAGUGGCGAAGGCGGGUCUCUGGACAGUUCCUGACGCUGAGGCACGAAGGUCAGGGGGAGCAAACGGG